UUUGGAAGAAAAUUGAUCCUGGCUCAGGACGAACGCUGGCGGCGUGCCUAAUACAUGCAAGUCGAGCGGACAGAUGGGAGCUUGCUCCCUGAUGUUAGCGGCGGACGGGUGAGUAACACGUGGGUAACCUGCCUGUAAGACUGGGAUAACUCCGGGAAACCGGGGCUAAUACCGGAUGGUUGUUUGAACCGCAUGGUUCAAACAUAAAAGGUGGCUUCGGCUACCACUUACAGAUGGACCCGCGGCGCAUUAGCUAGUUGGUGAGGUAACGGCUCACCAAGGCAACGAUGCGUAGCCGACCUGAGAGGGUGAUCGGCCACACUGGGACUGAGACACGGCCCAGACUCCUACGGGAGGCAGCAGUAGGGAAUCUUCCGCAAUGGACGAAAGUCUGACGGAGCAACGCCGCGUGAGUGAUGAAGGUUUUCGGAUCGUAAAGCUCUGUUGUUAGGGAAGAACAAGUACCGUUCGAAUAGGGCGGUACCUCGACG
rnacentral:rRNA from 1 species